UGCAGGGGUGACAGUGGCAGGGACAGUGACAGUGCUGGGGUUGGUGACACUGCAGAGGUGACAGUGCUGGGGCUGGUGACACUGAGGAGGUGACAGUGCCAGCGCUGGUGGCCGUGCCCAGGGCUGGCAGGGUCCCAGCUCGCCCAGGACACCCGAGCCACUGGCCAGGCUGAGCUAAAUAUACCCGAGCCUGGAGGCCUGGUCCCCUCAGUGUCCCCUCAGUGUCCCCUCAGUGUCCCCUCAGUGUCCCCAGCCUGUCCCCAGGCCAUCCCCAGACUGUCCCCACUGUCCCCAGGCUGUCCCCACUGUCCCCACACCUUGCACGAGGUCCUGGCACUCCACGGCCUCCAGCGCUCCAGGUUCUGCAGGAGCGUGUCCCUGUCCCCUCAGUGUCCCCUCAGUGUCCCCUCAGUGUCCCCAGGCUGUCCCCAGGUUGUCCCCUCAGUGUCCCCAGGUGUCCCCAGACCUUUUUUCUCUCCGGUGAAGGGCACCAGGUCCUGUCUCUCCUCUGUCUCCA